AUUGAACGCUGGCGGCAGGCUUAACACAUGCAAGUCGAACGAGUGGCGGACGGGUGAGUAAUGCUUGGGAAUCUAGCUUAUGGAGGGGGAUAACUACGGGAACAGGUAGCUAAUAGCGCGGACCAUCGGAUGAGGCCAAGUGGGAGUAGGUAGUUGGUGAGGUAAAGGCUCACCAAGACGACGAUCUCUAGCUGGUCAGAGAGGCUGACCGGCCACACUGGGACUGAGACACGGCCCAGACUCCUACGGGAGGCAGCAGUGGGGAAUAUUGCGCAAUGGGGGCAACCUGACGCAGCCAUGCCGCGUGAAUGAAGAAGGCCUUCGGGUUGUAAAGUUCUUUCGUUAGCGAAGCGUUACCUACAGAAGAAGCACCGGCUAACUCCGUGCCAGCAGCCGCGGUAAUUC
rnacentral:rRNA from 1 species